CUGGGAAAAACAACAGUGAAGGCCCUGAAGAAGUUAAAUUUAGACACCAUGUGAUCCUUAACCAUCUCAAGAAUAUUACUGUAUAACCUGAGCCAUUCAAAAGAUGAAUGUGCCACUUUGUGAGUCCAAGAAAUUCUUCUCCCACACGAAUGGAGCCUAUAAUAACCUCCUGGGCACUUGCUUCAACAAACAAAUGCAAAGGAGGAAUGCCCAAGAAGACUUCAAGAAUAGCAGUAGGAGCAGUCUUGAUAGCCCCAGUAAUGCUCAAAUAGGCCAACCUUUGAAUCUUUUCAAAUUCAAUCUUGCAAGUCUUAAGCAAAACCUUUCACCACCAAAUAAUGGCAGCAUAGGUAAUAAUAUAAUGGUCUCAUAACUAUGGUGUAUAU
rnacentral:lncRNA from 1 species